rnacentral:lncRNA from 1 species
UAGCAUAUGAAGUUAUCAGAAAGGUUAGCAUAAGGAAGAAAUCAGAAAGGAAACUUACCAACAGUCUAUUACAGGGAUGCUCGUAGUAAAGAAAAUGAGUCAAUGAAACUUUGAUCAUUUUGGAUGUAUGAUAUACAUAUGAAGGCUAUUAGAUAUCACUAUUAACCCAGAUCAUGCCAGGCUUAAAAAAUAGACCGUAUUUCUGAAACGGUAAAACACUACAGGAACAUGAAGCAUCAGAUUCAGAAUAUUAAUUCAUGGUUUAAUUACAAACCAUAGAAAAUUAAUAAUAAAACCAUGAUUAUCAGUUACAGAACCAUCCAAAACAUGCAUAUAUACGAAGAAAUGUUCUCAAAUCGAAAAGGACCAGUAGAUUGCAUAGCUCCCAUCCAUUGGUAUGGGUGCUCCUAACAUCAAGUGCAAAUUGUUUUAAAUGUUUUGCUGUCCACUAAGCAAUCCUGGCUCAGCAACCCAGAAGCAAUAAGGACCAGUAGAUUGCAUAGCUCCCAUCCAUUGGUAUGGAUGCUCCUAACAGCAAGUGCAAAUUGUUUUAAAUGUUAUGCUGUCCACUAAGCAAUCCUAGCUCAGCAACCCAGAAGCAAUAUUCUUCAAACCUUCAAAAUUAAACACCUGCAAGGAUCACACCCCUAAAAAAUAAGAAUUAUAUUAGCAUCAGUUAGGAUGAACUGAAUCAACAAAAGAAAUUUACCAGCCUGUGUUUCUGCGUUCAGAAAAGAAAGUGAAAGUAAAUUCCACAGGUAAUCAAUAGUUACUUCCUCCAUAUCUUCUCUCUUGAGUCUUAACAGGUCAACCACUUUCUCUCUACAUGAACAAUACAACGGAAGGGAAAGAAGCUGGAAGGAUAACACUUAACUUUGACACAUGAACCAUCCCUGGCAACUUAACCUCACUCAACAUCUUCCUCUGUAGCUUCGGUUCCACCAUCCACGUACAACAGCACGGAUGUAGCUCAAACUUUGUAGCAACUGAUCGAGGGUAAGCUAAUUGGGAAAUUCGCAUGUCUGAUAGCUAGCCGUCGGGGAAGGAAGAGCAGCAUGUGAGCUUGCACACAAAACUAAUUUAUUCCUACAACACACCAGCAAAAGUUUCGAUGUGAAAAGUAGAGCAGGCCAUUAAAACGCAACGUUGAACUGGGCGAAAAGAAAAACAUGAAUCUUUAGGGAAAAUAGAAGAGGAGGAGAACCAAACCUCAGCAUCUGUCGAAAUGGUUCCGGAUCCAAAAGGCUGAUCUGGCUCGAAGGGGUUCCUGCGUUUCCUUCCUCUGAGAAACUAUUUGAACGGAUUGGAGCCUGGGUAGCAUAGCUCGAAACCCUCGCCUUAUUCAGCCCUAGAGAUUGAAGGAGUCAAAUCGAAGAAACCGAUAACAGCAAAUGAUGUUCAUAGUACGAAGAAAGUUAGAGCGACCAGGUGUUGAAGCCAGGAAAAGAACUUGAAAAUACCAAUCUUUUUCUAGAGGGUUCUAUAGUUUAAAACGCCAUUAAGACAACAACAGGAUUUGCCUUCUUUAAGAGCAGGAAUCAUAAAAUAUUCUUUGAUGAUGGAUUUUGGAAGGAGAUUAAAAGGAAGGACAGCUGAUGGACAAUACCAAAAGUAACAGAAACAGAAAGAAAAGACUGCAAAUAGACAAUAGCAAAAAGGAGAGAAAAAAAAUCAGCCGCGGAAGAUAUUUUAGGCAAAAAUCGGGCUGAAGUUAAUCACUGUAAACUACGUCAUUUAAUGAAAAAACAGAGUUGUAAG